rnacentral:rRNA from 1 species
UACGGGGGGUGCGAGCGUUGUCCGGAAUCACUGGGCGUAAAGGGCGCGUAGGUGGUUUGAUAAGGGUGUGGUGAAAGCCCGGGGCUCAACCCCGGGUCUGCCGUGCCGACUGCUAAACUCGAGGGCUGUAGAGGCAGACGGAAUUCCGGGUGUAGCGGUGGAAUGCGUAGAGAUCCGGAGGAAGACCGGUGGCGAAGGCGGUCUGCUGGGCAGUUUCUGACACUGAUGCGCGACAGCGUGGGGAGCAAACAGG